CACAUAGUAGCUUUAUUAAACUACACAUACCUUUUGAAAAACAAUUUUUUCUAAUGAGUUAUACAUGACAGUAGAAUGCAUUUGGAUGUAUUGUACACAAAUGGAGCUCAGUUUCUUCCUCUAGCCAAAUAUGAUUCAGAGUCACACCAAUACUAUAAUAAUACAUGUACACAGAGUAAUAAUGACUACCUCAUUCCAUCAACUUUCCCAUCCGCAUAGCCGUUGCACUCCCUCAUACCUCUCUGCAAAGUACAAAGUUCCUUCAUUCUUCCCUUCCCAUCAUUGAGGAUUAGCAUUUGCUUAUCAGAGAAAACAUUUGGCAUUUGUUUUUUUGAGUUUGACUUAUUUCCCUUAGCAUCCAUCAAUGUACUUGCAAAUGCCAUAAUUUUAUUCUUCUUUAAGACUGAUUAAUAUUCCAUGUAUAUAUGUACAUUAUUUUCUUUAUUCAUUUAUCUGCUGAAGGGAAUCUAGGUUGGUUCCAUAGUUUAGCUAUUGUGAGUUGAGUGGCUAUGAACAUUGAUGUGACUGCAUCAUUGUAGUAUGCUGAUUAUAAGACUUUUGGGUAUAAACUAAGGAGUGGGAUAACUGAGUCAAAUGGUGGUUCCAUCCCAAAAUUUCUGAGGAAUCUUCAUAUUGCUUUUCAUAAAGUUUGCACCAAUUUGUAGUUUCACCAGCAAUAAAUGGAUGUACAUUUUUCCCCACAUUCUCAACAACAUUUAUUGUUGCUUGUAUUCUUGAUAAUCAUCAUUCUGAUUGGGGUGAGAUGAAAUGUUACAGUAGUCUUGAUUUGCAUCUCUAGUUGCUAAAGAUGAUGAACAUUUUUUCAUAUAUCUGUUGAUCAAUUGUAUUUCUUCUUCUGUGAAGUGUCUGUUCAGUUCCUUAGCACAUUUAUUGAUUGGGUUAUUUGGGUUUUUUUGGUUUUCAG
rnacentral:lncRNA from 1 species